rnacentral:rRNA from 1 species
UACGUAGGAUGCAAGCGUUGUCCGGAUUUACUGGGCGUAAAGCGCGCGCAGGCGGCACUCUAAGUACAUCGUGAAAUCUCCUUGCUCAACGGGGAGGGUGCGAAGUAGACUAGGGAGCUAGAGGUCGGUAGAGGGGGGUGGAAUUGCUGGUGUAGCGGUGAAAUGCGUAGAGAUCAGCAGGAACACCCGUGGCGAAGGCGGCCCCCUGGGCCGUACCUGACGCUGAGGCGCGAAGGCUAGGGGAGCGAACGGG